AUGCCAUGCAUCCUUAAUCAUUCAACUGAGCUACACGGUCAGAAGGAACGCAACCAAGAUAUUCACAAGUAUCUCUGUGGGAAAAAUGAGCUGGAGCGAUGAUACUGGACUCUUUGACCCGGAACUCAUACACCUGGCAAGAGGCAGGCACAGAGCCGUGAGGACCAUUGAGCUUAGCAGACUAGUCUGCCACUGACUCACGCCAGAAACCUGUCUCUUGUGACGCUGCUAUGGUGCUGGGGACACAGGUGAGAGAAAUCAGACACUAUCCGGACCCUCUUACAGGGAGAGUGGCUGUGACUACAUUCUGAUCAAGGGGCUCAAGGCUAAACCUAAAUUUUUACUGGCUUUUCAGGGGAGCAUUUGAGAUCUUGCUACCCAACCUACAUUGUCAGUUCAAACACUUAUAAAAACUCAAACAAUAAAUAAAUUGUUACUGGCUUUUUAAA